CAAUGUUACUAUCCAUAGUUUCUGCUUGUUUCUGCUGCCCCCAAGUGCCCCCCAAAAAACAAAAAACAAAACAACAGCAACAAAAAACAGUUAAUGCAGGUUUAAAGUUUAAUUUCACUCAAACCAUAUCCUCUCACUUACCCCUAGUUCCAUCAUGCUAUGCAGAAUUUCUGCUUCCAGCUCAAUGCAAUGGAGAUGAAUGGAAUUCUAUCUGUGGUGCUCACAGCAUUGAAAAAAUACAUUACAAAAUUUAUCAGCAACAUCUUAAGGAUCAAAAGUCGACCAGUACUCUGAAUAUUAAGAACUAUUGUAAUGUCAGACCAACACGUUGAAGCUUGUGACCUUCACCAGCGACAACACACAAAACUUCACAAAGAACAUUUAAAUACUUUUUUUUUCAUCUUGCAGGAGUUUUGACUCUGUAAGACUACUUACCUGUCUCCAUGCAUCUUGCAGGUCCCAUUGUGCUUCUGACUUUGGCAAAACACCAGUGGUGUACAAGGAGCAGCUGAGGCUCCUGCAGUGUGCUAAAGGUAGAGAUAG